rnacentral:rRNA from 1 species
CGCGGCCUAUCAGCUUGUUGGUGGGGUAACGGCCUACCAAGGCUAUGACGGGUAGCUGACGUGAGAGCGUGAGCAGCCACACUGGGACUGAGACACGGCCCAGACUCCUACGGGAGGCAGCAGUGGGGAAUAUUGCGCAAUGGGCGAAAGCCUGGCGCAGCGACGCCGCGUGGGGGAGGAAGGCCCUAGGGUUGUAAACCCCUGUCAGGUGGGACGAACCCCGGGUUGGUUAAUAAUCAGCUCGACUGACGGUACCACCAGAGGAAGCUCCGGCUAACUCCGUGCCAGCAGCCGCGGUAAUACGGAGGGAGCGAGCGUUGUUCGGAAUCACUGGGCGUAAAGGGCGCGUAGGCGGCCGAGUAAGUCGUGUGUGAAAGACCGGGGCUCAACUCCGUGUACUGCAUGCGAUACUGCCCGGCUAGAGUAAGGUAGAGGCGAGUGGAAUUCCCGGUGUAGCGGUGGAAUGCGUAGAUAUCGGGAAGAACACCUGUGGCGAAGGCGGCUCGCUGGGCCUUUUCUGACGCUGAAGUGCGAAAGCGUGGGGAGCAGACAGGAUUAGAUACCCUGGUAGUCCACGCCGUAAACGAUGGGCACUAGGCGUUGGGAGGAUUGACCCUCUCAGUGCCGUAGCUAACGCGUUAAGUGCCCCGCCUGGGGAGUACGG